GCCACAUUUGGCACAAGCUCAUUGAACCCAAGGCAGGCUCAUGGACACAGGACAGAUUCUGUCCCUACAGUCCUUGGGGCACAAGCUCUGGGUGGCCGUGCUACCACCUCUACCCACCCUCAUACCUGCUGCCAGCCAAACCAGCCCCUCCAGUGAAGCUCAGGGAGGAUGACGGGACCCAAGGAGCCUUUGGGACUGGAUCCAGCCCCGUUGGAUCCUGGCACUGGGGACCUUACCUGCUGCUGAAGAAAGGUUGAAGAAAGGGGAGGGGGAGAGAAAGGAGAACAGCCUGAACUCAUCAAGGCAUUCACAGCCUGGCUUCCCUCCUCUCUGAUUUUGUUUAAAUUAAGCCAUCUGCCCACA